GAAGAUACUUAAAAUGAGAGCUUCGGCAGGAUUUUUAUUUAUCUUAGUGGCGGACGGGUGAGUAACGUGUGGGCAACCUGCCCUAUACUGGGGAAUAAUCGCUGGAAACGGUGACUAAUACCGCAUGUCAUCACGGAAGGGCAUCCUUUUGUAAGAAAAGGAGUAAUUCGGUAUAGGAUGGGCCCGCAUCUGAUUAGCUAGUUGGUGAGAUAACAGCCCACCAAGGCGACGAUCAGUAGCCGACCUGAGAGGGUGAUCGGCCACAUUGGGACUGAGACACGGCCCAAACUCCUACGGGAGGCAGCAGUGGGGAAUAUUGCACAAUGGGGGAAACCCUGAUGCAGCAACGCCGCGUGAAGGAAGAAGGUUUUCGGAUCGUAAACUUCUAUCAACAGGGACGAAGAAAGUGACGGUACCUGAAUAAGAAGCCCCGGCUAACUACGUGCCAGCAGCCGCGGUAAUACGUAGGGGGCAAGCGUUAUCCGGAAUUACUGGGUGUAAAGGGAGCGUAGGCGGCACGCCAAGCCAGAUGUGAAAGCCCGAGGCUUAACCUCGCGGAUUGCAUUUGGAACUGGCGAGCUAGAGUACAGGAGAGGAAAGCGGAAUUCCUAGUGUAGCGGUGAAAUGCGUAGAUAUUAGGAAGAACACCAGUGGCGAAGGCGGCUUUCUGGACUGAAACUGACGCUGAGGCUCGAAAGCGUGGGGAGCAAACAGGAUUAGAUACCCUGGUAGUCCACGCCGUAAACGAUGAGUGCUAGGUGUCGGGGAGGAAUCCUCGGUGCCGCAGCUAACGCAAUAAGCACUCCACCUGGGGAGUACGACCGCAAGGUUGAAACUCAAAGGAAUUGACGGGGGCCCGCACAAG
rnacentral:rRNA from 1 species